rnacentral:rRNA from 1 species
CCUACGGGUGGCAGCAGUGGGGAAUAUUGCGCAAUGGGCGAAAGCCUGACGCAGCGACGCCGCGUGAGGGAUGAAGGACUUCGGAUCGUAAACCUCUGUCAGCAGGGAAGAACGGUAACUGUGCUAAUCAGCAGUGCAUUGACGGUACCUGCAAAGGAAGCACCGGCUAACGCCGUGCCAGAAGCCGCGGCAAUAUGGAGGGGGCGAGCGUGAAUCGGAAUUACUGGGCGUAAAGGGCGCGUAGGCGGUAGGUCAAGUCAAGGGUGAAAUCCCAGCGCUCAACAGGGGAACUGCCUUGGAAACUGGCAAACUGGAGUGUAGGAGAGGUAAGUGGAAUUCCAGGUGUAGGGGUGAAAUGCGUAGAUAUCAGGAGGAACAUCAGUGGCGAAGGCGGCUAUCUGGCACGUAACUGACGCUGAGGAGCGAAAGCGUGGGUAGCAAACAGGAUUAGAUACCCGUGUAGUC